UCUAGCAUGAAGUCAGACAAGUGA
rnacentral:rRNA from 31 species